AGUCGAGCGAAUCGAUGGGAGCUUGCUCCCUGAGAUUAGCGGCGGACGGGUGAGUAACACGUGGGCAACCUGCCUAUAAGACUGGGAUAACUUCGGGAAACCGGAGCUAAUACCGGAUACGUUCUUUUCUCGCAUGAGAGAAGAUGGAAAGACGGUUUACGCUGUCACUUAUAGAUGGGCCCGCGGCGCAUUAGCUAGUUGGUGAGGUAAUGGCUCACCAAGGCGACGAUGCGUAGCCGACCUGAGAGGGUGAUCGGCCACACUGGGACUGAGACACGGCCCAGACUCCUACGGGAGGCAGCAGUAGGGAAUCUUCCGCAAUGGACGAAAGUCUGACGGAGCAACGCCGCGUGAACGAAGAAGGCCUUCGGGUCGUAAAGUUCUGUUGUUAGGGAAGAACAAGUACCAGAGUAACUGCUGGUACCUUGACGGUACCUAACCAGAAAGCCACGGCUAACUACGUGCCAGCAGCCGCGGUAAUACGUAGGUGGCAAGCGUUGUCCGGAAUUAUUGGGCGUAAAGCGCGCGC
rnacentral:rRNA from 1 species